CUUGCAUAAUAUAUCCGGAUUUCCAUAUUGAAACGCUAUAACAGAAGCAUCAGUCACGAAAUACAAGAAGUCUCCAUCAUUUUCAAGAUUAGCUGCAUUAAAAGAAGCCUUCAGUGCCUUUCCAUUAGUUGCUAGUUUUUGUUCGAUAAGUCGAGUGGUUUCUUGUAACACAGAUAUCUAAGCAUGUUUUGUCUUGCAAUAUACAGCAUUGUCCUUAUGCUGCAGGUUUGAAGAUUUAAAAUCAGAACCUCAACAUGAGCUGGCUGCACUUGGGACCAGUCUGAAACACAGUCCGGCUAGAGAUAUAUGGACUGGAAGGAAACGAAAUUAGCCAUGCUAGCUGUUUUUUGCAGAUUGGAUGUUGUUUUGACCAACCCGGUUUGAUGCCUAUUCCAUCAUGAAAUUCGUUUGAAGGAAGUAUAGGGCGAAUUCCAUCGGUAAGCCGGAAAAUUAAACAUUAAUGCAUUUCCUUAAACUCAUUCUGUUUCCGCAGGUUCGGUGGUUUCAUGCAGAGUAGCUCCUGGUCAUAGUCAAAAUUGUACUCUCACACCAAGCUUCCUAACGACAUCACCAACUGUGGAAAUUUGAACUUACAAUGGGACUCGACCUUUCUACGGCAUUUGUACUAUGGCUAAUGGGCCUGCUAUCACUACCGUAAUGACGUUUUGUGCGAUACAAGGCAUAGCUCCAGUUCAAGGAUAUUAAGUUCCCGCAAAUUGUAAUAAGUUAACCAUCAGAAGCAAUUCAUCCUAUAAUUAUCAACCAAUCGCAAUAACAGCAUCCUCGUCGUCAACCGAAGUAAGCAUCGAAAUUACAUCUCUUUUAUCAGUCACAGUGACGGGCCAAACCUUGAGAGUUAGGUGGUGUUAAAUACAAAUUGGCACCUAUUGAAAGUUGGCCAAACAUAAGUGCUAAUGUAUCGGCAAUAGCAGCAAUACCCGGAUACCGAAAUUCCAGACCACGCAGAGCAACUGUAUAACCCUCUUUAUAAGCUGGCUCACACUUUAAGACACCCUCAGUAGUUAAACACAGAUGUUCCUUAAGGCAGUCCGGAUGAAAGUCUUGAAGAUGUGGACACAGUCACAGCAGCAGCAGCUAAUUCUAACAAAAAUGCCCCAGCUAUAUUGCUUAAGAGGGAGCCUUGAUUCGGAAGCUGGUAUAACGGGAUUUGCAAGUGAGAGGUGACCAAACAAUCAUCCACAGUAGCCUUUGAACUUAACAUAGUACUCAAAUCUAGUAUGCAGUUUAUAUUUUCUUCAGGAAAGUCGAAUGAUCUUGUCACAUAGUCAGAAAGUCCAAAGAGGUACUUCAUGCGAGAACUCUGUCGUAAAACAAACUGUUCCCAUUCAUGCAAAACUGUAGAGACCCCACAGAUAAAGCAUAGUUAGCUUCAAUUGCAUAAGGCGACAAACCCUCCAUUGUGUCAAAUGAUCUCAACAAGUUCAUCCAACAGCUAAGUAAAGGAGGGCAUUUUUCCAUUCUGCCAUACUAGGAACAUUAUAGUUUACAUCCACAUCAUCCUUCUGAUCAAGCUCACAAGCAUUAUAAUGGAUGCCGGAAAUUAGUUUGCAUCAUAGGAUUAAAAUUCACAGGAACACUCCGUUGAUGAGAUGGCAUGGCAGUUCUGCUUGUUGAAAACUUGCUUAAGGUUAUGUUAA